rnacentral:lncRNA from 1 species
CAUGAACAAGCCAAGGGGAACAAGAAUCUUAUCAAUGCAAACAAGGAGAACCACCCCAAAGAAGCUCAGAGGAUGAGUAAGUGGAAUAUGAGAAGGAUGAAAGCCUGUACAGUUCCUGGACUACCUGCCCAUAUAUCUUCCCUUGAGGAAGAAACACAGUGACAAGAACAGAAACAGGUUCAUACAUUCAGUCUGUAUUUGCUGUUACUAUUAGCAAGGCUUCAUACACCACUCACAGUACAUACACAGGCCAUAGGAUACUUUGAAGGCUGAAUUGAUCCAUUAGCCUGUGGUGCUACAAGCCUGGGCCGCAAUAAUGCUGUAUCCCUCCAGAGGCCUGGCGUGAAAUCAAAUAGGAGCAAUGAGAAUAAAUACGUGUGCCUGAGUCAAAGAAGAAAGGAAGCCACUUCCAGCCUGGCUAAGGAGAAAGAAGCAAGAGUACAGGGAAAAUGGGGACCAGGUCUACCUUUUGCCAGGAGGUAGACUUAUUUAUCUGGUUUGUACAACCUGAUGGUUUUUUGUGUUGCCAUAAUAG